rnacentral:rRNA from 1 species
GACAGAGGCCCCGAGCGUUAGGCGGAAUCACUGGGCUUAAAAGCGUGUGUAGGCGGGCCCGUAAGUGUCUUGUGAAAUCCCACGGCUCAACCGUGGAACUGCUGGGCAUACUGCGGGUCUUGGGCCAACUAGGGGCAGCCGGAACAAGCGGUGGAGCGGUGAAAUGCGUAGAUAUCGCUUGGAACGCCGAAGGUGAAAACAGGCUGCUGGGGUUGCGCCGACGCUGAGACACGAAAGCCAGGGGAGCAAACGGG